rnacentral:rRNA from 2 species
CGCACGGGUGCGUAACACGUGGAUAAUCUGCCUGGAUGCCUGGGAUAACCAGUCGAAAGAUUGGCUAAUACCGGAUAAGCCCACGGUUUCUUCGGAGACUGAGGGAAAAGGUGGCCUCUGUAUACAAGCUAUCACAACCAGAUGAGUCCGCGGCCCAUCAGCUAGUUGGCGGGGUAAUGGCCCACCAAGGCAACGACGGGUAGCUGGUCUGAGAGGACGAUCAGCCACACUGGAACUGAGACACGGUCCAGACUCCUACGGGAGGCAGCAGUGGGGAAUUUUGCGCAAUGGGCGAAAGCCUGACGCAGCAACGCCGCGUGUGUGAUGAAGGUCUUUGGAUUGUAAAGCACUUUCGACCGGGACGAAACCGUAAAGCCUAAUACGCUUUGCCUUGACGGUACCGGGAGAAGAAGCACCGGCUAACUCUGUGCCAGCAGCCGCGGUAAUACAGAGGGUGCAAGCGUUGUUCGGAAUUAUUGGGCGUAAAGCGCGUGUAGGCGGCUUUGCAAGUCGGGUGUGAAAGCCCUCAGCUCAACUGAGGAAGUGCGCCCGAAACUGCAGAGCUUGAGUGCCGGAGAGGGUGGCGGAAUUCCCCAAGUAGAGGUGAAAUUCGUAGAUAUGGGGAGGAACACCGGUGGCGAAGGCGGCCACCUGGACGGUAACUGACGCUGAGACGCGAAAGCGUGGGUAGCAAACAGGAUUAGAUACCCUGGUAGUCCACGCCGUAAACGAUGAGAACUAGGUGUCGUGGGAGUUGACCCCCGCGGUGCCGUAGCUAACGCAUUAAGUUCUCCGCCUGGGAAGUACG